GGAGAGGAAGCAAGAGCCAGUGAACUAAAAAUAGAUCAAUAGAAAUUAUCCAAUCUGAAGAACAUAUGAAGGUGAGGAAAAGAUCAUAAAAAGGUGAACAAAGCCUCAGGGUAUAAGAGGUAUAAUUAGUGUAACCAGAAGAAACAAGAAUAUGAAGUUGGAAAAAUACUUGGAGAAAUGAACUAAAUUUUCCAAUUUUGUUAAGACAAUUUUAUAACUUCAAGAAGCUGAGCAACCCCAGUCAAGAUUGAAUAUAAAGAAAACUUCAUCUCAAUUCAUCAUAGUCACAUUGUUUCAAGCUGAAAAUAUAGAGAAAAUUAAAAAAGAAUUAGAGAAAAAAUGAAUUAUAGACUUACAUCAGAGAACAGGGAUUCUAAUGAUACCUCACCUUUCAUCAGAAAUAAUGGAGCAUAGAGGACAAAAAACUUUUAACUCUGAAAUCUGUAUCCAGUGAAAAUAUUUUUUUUACAUCCUAUGAUAGGAAUUGUACCCAUACCAUGGAUGCUCUACCACUGACCUACAUUUGCAUUCCUUUUUAUAUUUUUAUUUUGAGGUAGGGUUUCACCAAGUUGCCCAGGCUGACCUCGAAUUUGCAAACCUUCUGCCUCAGCCUGCCAGGUAGCUGAGAUUGUGGGUGUGCACCGCUGCACCUGGCUCCAAUGAAAAUAUUCUUUAAAAAUAGAGAAAUAACUCUUCCAGAUAAAAGAAAACUUAGAUAAUUAACAGCAUACCUGAACUACAAGAAAUGUUAAGAAAAGUACUACAAAAUGAAGAGAAAAAUGGCUUGGAUUCCAGCUCUUUGGAAGUGAAUGAAGAACACAAGAAAUAGUAAAUAUAUCGGUAAAUAUUUCUUUACAAUACAUAUGGCUGUGCAAAGAAAAAAAUGUAACAAUAUUAUGAGGCUUACAUAUGUAGAUGUAAUAUUACUACUCUGUUACAUAUAACAGCUAUAGCAUAAAGGGCAGGGAUAAGACUUAAAAAGUUCAGAAUAUAUGUCAUAAUCUUUAGAAUAGAGCUUCUCAAGCUUUUUGGUCCUGAUACUCUAUUAUACUCCUAAAAAUUAUUAAGAAUCCAAAAAUCCAUUUUUAUGUACAUUAUAUCAAAUACCUCAAACAUAUUAGAAAUAAGAAUUGAGAAAUUAUAAAAAAUGUUCAUUUAAUUCAAAAAAUAGACCCAUUACAUGUUAAUAUAAAUAGCAAAAAAAAAAAGUUUGUGUGUAGUGCUGGGGAUUGAACCCAAGGCCUUGUGCAUGCAAGGCAAGU
rnacentral:lncRNA from 1 species